rnacentral:rRNA from 2 species
GGAUGCGAUAAUACCAGCACUAAAGCACCGGAUCCCAUCAGAACUCCGAAGUUAAGCGUGCUUGGGCGAGAGUAGUACUAGGAUGGGUGACCUCCUUGGAAGUCCUCGUGUUGCAUUCC